AGUGAACGCUGGCGGUAGGCCUAACACAUGCAAGUCGAACGGCAGCACAGGAGAGCUCGCUCUCUGGGUGGCGAGUGGCGGACGGGUGAGGAAUACAUCGGAAUCUACUUUUUCGUGGGGGAUAACGUAGGGAAACUUACGCUAAUACCGCAUACGACCUACGGGUGAAAGCAGGGGAUCUUCGGACCUUGCGCGAUUGAAUGAGCCGAUGUCGGAUUAGCUAGUUGGCGGGGGAAAGGCCCACCAAGGCGACGAUCCGUAGCUGGUCUGAGAGGAUGAUCAGCCACACUGGAACUGAGACACGGUCCAGACUCCUACGGGAGGCAGCAGUGGGGAAUAUUGGACAAUGGGCGCAAGCCUGAUCCAGCCAUACCGCGUGGGUGAAGAAGGCCUUCGGGUUGUAAAGCCCUUUUGUUGGGAAAGAAAUCCAGCUGGUUAAUACCCGGUUGGGAUGACGGUACCCAAAGAAUAAGCACCGGCUAACUUCGUGCCAGCCGCCGCGGUAA
rnacentral:rRNA from 1 species